AUUGAACGCUGGCGGCAUGCCUUACACAUGCAAGUCGAACGGCAGCACGGGAGCAAUCCUGGUGGCGAGUGGCGAACGGGUGAGUAAUAUAUCGGAACGUGCCCAGUCGUGGGGGAUAACGUAGCGAAAGCUACGCUAAUACCGCAUACUAUCUAUGGAUGAAAGCGGGGGAUCGCAAGACCUCGCGCGAUUGGAGCGGCCGAUAUCAGAUUAGGUAGUUGGUGAGGUAAAGGCUCACCAAGCCGACGAUCUGUAGCUGGUCUGAGAGGACGACCAGCACACUGGACGUGAGACACGGCCCAGACUCCUACGGAGGCAGCAGUGGGGAAUUUUUGGACAAUGGGCGCGAAGCCUCGAUCCAGCAAUGCCGCGUGCAGGAUGAAGG
rnacentral:rRNA from 1 species